rnacentral:lncRNA from 1 species
GGUGAGGGCACUGGCCUUGGCAGACAAGGGCCCUGCGAGGGGACACUUGGUCCCACAGUCAUCUCCAGCCGAUUCCAGCCUCUGCGACCCAAGCAGAAGCCGCUCCUUCAGCACCGGCCUCUUAACUCCAUUCAAAAUUCAGGAACCCUCGGUGGCCGCCUGCUGCCCCCCUGCACCCUGCCCUGAAUGAGGACGCUGGCUUUCUACCCACCCAGCCGGCUUCCUGUGGCAGCGUCCGACUGACCGAUCAGACUGACCGGCAAAGGGCCACCCAAGGAGAAGGCCGAGGAGGAGACGCAUGCGGGCCUGACCACUUUGUUCCCAGGGCAGAAGAGGAGAGUCUCACACCUUUCCAAGCCUGGCAAGGAGGCAGAGGCCCCAAAGAGGACCCCCGUGGCCCCCCC